rnacentral:rRNA from 1 species
CUACGGGCGGCACCAGUAGGGAAUUUUCGGCAAUGGGGGAAGCCCUGACCGAGCAACGCCGCGUGAGUGAAGACGGCCUUCGGGUUGUAAAGCUCUGUUGUAAGGGAAGAAUGGUACAGAGAGAAUCUGUAAGUGACGGUACCUUACCAGAAAGCCACAGCUAACUACGUGCCAGCAGCCGCGGUAAUACGUAGGUGGCGAUCGUUAUCCGGAAUUAUUGGGCGUAAAGGGUGCGUAGGCGGCCUUUUAAGUUUAUGGUGAAAGCGUGGGGCUUAACCCCAUAUAGCCAUAGAUACUGGAAGGCUAGAGUACUGGAGAGGAAAGUGGAAUUCCAUGUGUAGCGGUAAAAUGCGUAGAUAUAUGGAGGAACACCAGUGGCGAAGGCGGCUUUCUAGCCAGUAACUGACGCUGAGGCACGAAAGCGUGGGGAGCAAAUAGGAUUAGAUACCCCGGUAGUC